ACCAACAGUGAUAGCACGUUGAAUGCUCCAGUUAUCAAUAGAUCACUGAAGUUAAGCAACACUGCGCUAGGUUGGUAUCCGGAUGGGUAUAACCAUUAUGGCCAAUAGCGUUCUGCUGGCU
rfam:Asian citrus Psyllid, Diaphorina citri - Florida Strain, whole genome shotgun sequence.